rnacentral:tRNA from 1 species
UCUCUGGUAGUGCAUGGGUUAACACGUGUGCCUGAAAUGUGGAGAUAGCCAGUGUCGGCCGAAAGGUGGGUUCGAAUCCCAACUGGAGAC